rnacentral:rRNA from 1 species
UACGUAGGGUGCGAGCGUUAAUCGGAUGUACUGGGCGUAAAGGGGGCGUAGGCGGCCGUGAAAGUCCGGUGUGAAAACUCACGGCUCAACCGUGGGACUGCGCUGGAAACUACACGGCUUGAGGACGGUAGAGGGAGACGGAACUGCUGGUGUAGGGGUGAAAUCCGUAGAUAUCAGCAGGAACGCCGGUGGAGAAGUCGGUCUCCUGGGCCGUUCCUGACGCUGAGGCCCGAAAGCUAGGGGAGCAAACCGG